UGAGUAACCUGCCCUUAACUCUGGGAUAAGCCUGGGAAACUGGGUCUAAUACCGGAUAUGACUCCUCAUCGCAUGGUGGGGGGUGGAAAGCUUUUUGUGGUUUUGGAUGGACUCGCGGCCUAUUAGCUUGUUGGUGAGGUAAUGGCUCACCAAGGCGACGACGGGUAGCCGGCCUGAGAGGGUGACCGGCCACACUGGGACUGAGACACGGCCCGGACUCCUACGGGAGGCAG
rnacentral:rRNA from 1 species